AUGAACCAAAGGAGGCCUUACAGUUCUCGCGAUGAGGGGAAGAAGUUUUUGCUGUUGGUUUCAUUUGUAUCCCAAGUGCUUGACUUGGUUCUCGCGCAAUCCAAAUCUCUGGCUAACAUCGUAUCUAGAUUGUCCGAUCUCGUUUUCCGUGCAGGAUCAACCCGGAAUACGCUCCAGUCCCCAAUGGCAUCGACAACGGCAGUGGCAGCGCCGCCAUCAGGAAGCAAGCAGAACCCGCACCGUCACCCACACCAAGCAUGGACGACCGCGAUGACGCCCCGGACGUGGACACCGACAGCUCGAGCCUCGCGUCCUACCUCGCCCGCGCCUCGCUCGAGCAGCGCCGGCCAGGAGGGCGUCCGGCGUCCUCAUCCGCUGCUAUCGUGA
rnacentral:rRNA from 1 species